CGGUGGGAGGUUACUACGGGCGGGAGCCCCGCCCCUCCCCCCCGAUUCCCGCUCCAGGCUGGAGGCGGAGCCCUGCCGGCCGGGAACUUCCGGCGCCCACGGCUGGAGCUGGGACCGAGGCCGGGCGCCUUUGCCAGGUCUGCUUAGACGUCAUCGGGGAAGUUUGAGUUGCAAGACUGAGGUCCCAGUUAUGCUAGUAUGCCCUGAAUAUGAGAUUUGGACAUUGGACUAUGAACUGAAUUCUAAAGAAACUCUUUGCAACUCCAAAGCUCACCAUGUCUGCUGUGAAACCAAACCUCAAUGAAUUGGAUUCAUGUUUCCUCAAAAGCUUUGGAGAAGCUAUCCUAAUAAUUUCUGGGAUAAUGGUCCCAUUAAACAGCGAAUAAACAUAUGGGGCUGCAGUCUUCUUUCUCCGAAAGAGGUUUCUAUGUGGGCCAUUUUCCCUGGAGCUGGCAUGAAUGAACAGAAAGACAAGUGCUCCAGCUGAGAAGAUGCUGUUGAUGGGUAUGUGGGAAGACCCGGUUAUGAUCAUGAAUUUGCCAGAUGCACCACAACAUUCUCUUCUGCAGAGGGGAGGCUGGGCAAACGUGGGGGCAGAGUUGAUGUGGAGGUUGAGGGGCAGAAUUAGUUGCUGGGCAGGGGGACAGGCAGAUGAGAGCUCGUGUAGUGGGGGCCAAAAUUACCUUAAUUUGGGAACAUUGGCAAUACCAAUUGUCACACACACCAACCAGGAGCAGUUUGCAAAAAUCAAAACCGACAAAAAACAUGAUAUAAUCUCUCUCUAAAAACACUUAUUAUUUUUGGCUCUGUGAUGGGAUGUACCCCCUACACAAGGCAGAGUAGUUUAAAUCAGGUCAUUUAACCUUAUAGUCACUUAGAGGAGAGCCAGGGAUCAAUAAACCCUAAUGGAAGAUGAAGUUCAGCUGGGAAGGAGCAGAUUGGGCCUGUAUAAAGAGAGGAAGCUGAAACUAGAAGGGAAAAUAGUCUACAGCUACUCACUGGGAGUUUGGGUAGUAAAUCUAUCAUAGAAGGCUAGAAGACAGAAAGAAAAAAAUCCAGGGAAAUAGCAACUGGGUCUGGGAGCAAACAGACUGUAGUUGCUGGAUAUGGGGUCCCUGGGCUGGAACCCAGAGUAGUUGGCAGAUCUGAGUUCCCCUACUAGUUGUGCUACAAAACCUAUGGCAAAGUGGCACAAGACCUGAUCUUGGACCAGAAGACUGUCUGGAAUGGUGUGAGGACAGCUGAUCCAGAGGGCUUUGAUACCCUGGAAGGUGAGGGCAAUUUGGCAGAGGGCUGAGUCACAGACAGGGAGCACCGUGAGUAUUGGAAAGCGAGGGGGGUAUGUGGUGUGAGCAAUGAAUGAAAGCAAUGAAUAAUCCCUAGAUGUGGCCACAAGGAGGCAGCCCAAUAGUGACUUUUGGGGUCCAACUCAUGAUUUUGGAACCUUUGCAGUUGGCAAUAUUGUAAUUCAGGGAUAUCCUAAAGCCUGUGUUGUUCAGGAGGUCAGAUUAGCUUGCCCCAAUCUAUUAUCUCCAUUCCCCAGGCUCAGCUCAACAUCCCCCUACGUUUGAAUUAGGCUACAUCCUCCUUCAUGUUACCUAAGCACCAGCAGUAGGAGCAUUGAGAGCACAGAAGAAACAGUCUUUCUUCUCUCAGUCCUGAUGCUUGGCACCACAGCAGUUAAGGAAAAACAAUUGCAGGUAAAGCCCUGGCAGCCUGGGCUGGGGCAUGCCCAGUCUCUCUGGGGAUGGUGCAUGCACAGUUGGGUCAGCACUAAGAGUUGUGAGGGGCUGGAGCAUGCUCAGUAGAGACAGAAUUUAGGUACUAAACUAACAAGUUUCUACUGAGCAUGUGUGAACUGAGAUUUCUUUUCAAAGGUCUAUAAAUGGGUCAAACUUCUACAGCUUUUUAUGGGCACAGCAAAAAGCAUAGCCCGGACACAAAAGACAUCCCCUGCCAAACUUAAAACCUUGCUCCAAAGCAUGGAGAUGCUAGCACUGCUCAACAAACAGCCGUAUGACUGUUUAGAAUAGGGGUCAGCAACCUUUCAGAAGUGGUGUGCCGAGUCUUCGCUUAUUCACUCUAAUUUAAAGUUUCAUGUUCCAGUAAUACAUUUUAAUGUUUUUAGAAGGUCUCUUUCUAUAAGUCUAUAA